GCCCAGCAGUUCCCAGGGUUGACGUCUGGCUACACACGUGAGAACAAGACACCAGCUCUUAGGCAUCGGCAGGAAGGCUGCCUCACCCUGGAGCAUUUUACAGGCUCUGUAUGGACGUAUUUAUACCCUGCAAGAUGUGGACAACUCUAGAAAGAAGCACAACAGCUACUAACUGCACGGUAGAGCAUGAGGGAGUCACGCUGCUCCAAAGCAACUUUCUAAGUUGCCGUGAAGGAAGUCCCCUUUACUCAGGGCACGCAGGGAAGGACGAGGGCCAGGCUGGCCCGCGGCUAGCUGAACGCCCUCCACACCCAGCUCAAGGUGAGACAGUCCCAGGCGGGAACCUGGCAGCCGCAGAGAAGGGUGACUCAAGACUUGCCGCUUGCUUUUUACACCUGCACACUCAGGACCUGCCACUGGGGAGACAGCCCUACUGCCCAGCUUAAGUAUUGCUCCAGCCUUACCACAGCAAUCAUCCCUUCUGGGAGGCUGCAGCAUUACACGCUGCCACCCCUGGCAGGCUUGAGCAAACACCGGGACACGGGCAGCCUGAUUGCAAACUGCCCUGUGUGCAAGAUCAGCACAUGUAACCACUUCAAUAAAAGCUUGUAAAAACUG